AGAUGAGGCCAAAGAGGUGGACAGGAUCUCACCAUAGGGGGCUUUGUGGGACUGGCUGAGGGGCUUGGGCUCAACCCUUCAGAGGACCGAAGGGCUUUCAGCAGGAUGUAACCUGGUUGCUUUGCAUUUUAGAAGCACCCCUUUGGCAACAAAGAGGGCGAGGGUUUCCACUGGGCAAGACUGAAACCUAGAAGGCUGACAAGGAAAAGUGUGCUACACUUCACCCAAGAUAUGAUGAAGUCCCAGAUCAAGGCACUAGUAGUAGGUUAGAGAAGAGAGGACUGGGUUAAGAAACACUGAAAAAGGGAAGAGAUGAGAAAAGACCAGGGACAGAGAAGGAAGCACCUGGACCACUGUAGACUUCUAUCUUGGGUGACUGAAUGAGUGUGUUGCCUUUAAGAUUUGGAACACAGGGAGAGAAGCAGGUUGGUGGGAGGGGAUGAUGGGGCAUUCUGGAUUUGGUUAAGUUCAUGAUAAUCAAGUGACAUUUAGGUAGAUGCUUUCAGUAGAUACCUGGAAUCAAGCUCAGAGGAGAGGCUGGAGAUGCAGAAUUGGGGAAAAUGAGCAAGAAGAUAGGUUUAAAAACGAAGAGUGAGUGAGCUAAACUACAGAGAUCAUGUAGAAAAAAAGAGAGAAAAGCCAUAAACAGACCACAGGGAGCAGCCAUGCUUAGGAGGUAGACAGAAGGAGAGACAACCAUGGAGGAGACUAAGCAGAAACAACCAGAGAGUUAGAAGCCAAGGGAGCAUAGGGUGUUACAGAAGGAGCCCCAAAGUUAAAUGCAGCCAAGAGGUGGAGGAAGAUCGGGACUGAAAAGUGCCCACUGACUUUGGCAGAGUGGAGGUCACUGUGGCUGUCUUAUCAGGGUCCUGGCAGGAAAGAGAUGGGGCUCUUAACUUGGGAAAUUUCCAGAGAGUUGAGUAAACGGAAUCUUGAUAACAGCAUGGCCUGGUGCAGGGAAGCCCCAAGGAGAGUGCAGGACAAUGGGAGAGGUCACAGAAGGACAGCAUGGGCAGCUGCUACCCUGGACCAGAGCACCAAGAAGAGAGGAGAACACCAAAGCCAGGGCCAGGGAGGGCUGAAUGCAGGGGGCUGUCAGGGCUUGUGAAGCUAAUGAAGGUGAGCUUCCAGCAGAGCGAUACCCCAAAGGUAGGGAGUUGUGGAGAUCAAUUCUCUGAUCUCUCUCUCCUCCUUCCAGUCUCCAGUAGAGGCUCCCUAUGGGCCUUACCCACAAGGAAGCCACAAGGCUAGUGAGACAGCAGCCUUCCUUGCAGCUGGGUCAGGCAUGUGACCUGGGCUCCACCAAUCAGCCCUACCAGUGAGAAGUGUGGAUUUGCAGGAGAGCAAGGCUCAUAAAGUCUCCACAUUGCCAUGAAUCACGGACAGUCUGCCAGCCAGAGCCCAGAAGCCCAGCCAGCUCUGAGGGUGUCUGCUUGAUUAGCAGCUGCUGCGAUUCAUCUGAGGUCACCUUUCAUGAUUACAAGGGUCCUUUCACCUGCUUGUCCUGGAAAUCAGGGACCAAGUUACUCUCCUCCUGGUGGUGGGGUCUCCAGCUCCCUUAUACUGGACAGAUACUAAAUGGCUAGGGGUCUCCCAUGUGACAGAUUAAAUGAUCUGACAACAUGGGACAGAGGGAAACAUCAAGGAUUUUGAGUUCAAAGACAUUCAACUCUUGGGUCUGCCAUUUACUAAUUGUAUGGCCCUGGGCAAGUCAUUUUUAAGCCAUUCUAACCUCAACAACCUUGGAUAUAAAAUGGAUAUUGUGAAGCUUAAAUGAGAUAAUGUCUGCAGCACACUUUGAAAACAGUAAAUCAGUAGACACGUUAAAAUUGCACCUGUUAUUAAGCCAGCACCCAGGCAACCAAGACCCAAACCAGGCUGACAACUGGAACCAGGAAGGAGGCUGCAUCCAAAGGUUAGAGUGUAAUAAAAGGCUAGAGGGAGUACAGAGAAGCCAGAGUUUGAGGCAGGGCAGUGGGCUAAAGGCAGGACAAGAACACUUAGCAUCAAAAAACUAGUGGAACUGGAAAGAACCUCAGGAUCUUCUAGCCUGGUAGUUUGUAAAGUUCUGUUUAGUAGGUGAAUCUUUGUCUGAUGAAAUUGGGGUUCUCCAGAAAAGCAGAACCAAUAGGAUGUAUAUAUCUAAAGAGAGAGAUUUAUUGCAAGGAACUGGCUCAUGCAGUUAUGGAGGCUGGCAAGUUCAGAUCUGCAGGGUAGGCUGUCAAGCUGGAGACCCAGGGAAGAGGCAAUGCUGUCUGUAGUCAGUCUGAAGGCCAUCUGCUGGCUGAAUUCCUUCUUGCUUGGAAAAGGUCAGUGUUUGUUCUAUUAAGGCCUUCAACUUAUGGGAUGAGUCCCACUCACAUUAGGAGGGCAACUGGCUUUACUCAAAGUCCACCAAUUUUUAAAUGUUAAUCUUAUCCAUAAAAUCUCUUCACAGAAACAUCCAGAAUAAUGUUUGACUGAAUAUCUGGGUACCACGGCACAGCCAAGAUGAUCAACAAAAUUAACCAUCACAAGAUCUUUCACAGAACUCCAGUAUAUG